rnacentral:rRNA from 1 species
UACGUAGGGGGCAAGCGUUGUCCGGAAUCAUUGGGCGUAAAGCGCGCGUAGGUGGCCCGGUAAGUCCGCUCUGAAAGUCAAAGGCUCAACCUUUGAAAGCGGGUGGAUACUGUCGGGCUAGAGUCCGGAAGAGGCGAGUGGAAUUCCUGGUGUAGCGGUGAAAUGCGCAGAUAUCAGGAGGAACACCGAUGGCGAAGGCAGCUCGCUGGGACGGUACUGACGCUGAGGCGCGAAAGCGUGGGGAGCAAACAGG